UACGUAGGUGACAAGCGUUGUCCGGAUUUACUGGGCGUAAAGAGCGCGCAGGCGGUCGAUCAAGUCGAGUGUGAAAGCCCCCGGCUCAACUGGGGAGGGUCAUUCAAUACUGAUCGACUCGAAGGCAGGAGAGGGUAGUGGAAUUCCCGGUGUAGUGGUGAAAUGCGUAGAUAUCGGGAGGAACACCAGUGGCGAAGGCGACUACCUGGCCUGUUCUUGACGCUGAGGCGCGAAAGCUAGGGGAGCAAACGGG
rnacentral:rRNA from 1 species